rnacentral:rRNA from 1 species
AACGUACGCUGGCGGCACGCCUAACACAUGCAAGUCGAACGAAGUAGCAAUACUUAGUGGCAGACGGGUGAGUAACAUGUAGGUAUCUGCCCUUUGGCCUGGAAUAACACGAGGAAACUUGUGCUAAUACCGGAUAAGUCUUUACGGAGAAAGCUUUAUGCACCAUUGGAUGAGCCUGCACUUGAUUAGUUUGUUGGUGGGGUAAUGGCCUACCAAGACUGUGAUCAAUAGCUGAUUUGAGAGGAUGAUCAGCCACAUUGGGACUGAGACACGGCCCAAACUCCUACGGGAGGCAGCAGUGGGGAAUCUUGCACAAUGGAGGAAACUCUGAUGCAGCGAUGCCGCGUGAGUGAAGAAGGCCCUUGGGUUGUAAAGCUCUUUCGUCGGGGAAGAAAAUGACUGUACCCGAAUAAGAAGGUCCGGCUAACUUCGUGCCAGCAGCCGCGGUAAUACGAAGGGACCUAGCGUAGUUCGGAAUUACUGGGCUUAAAGAGUUCGUAGGUGGUUGAAAAAGUUAGUGGUGAAAUCCCAGAGCUUAACUCUGGAACUGCCAUUAAAACUUUUCAGCUAGAGUAUGAUAGAGGAAAGCAGAAUUUCUAGUGUAGAGGUGAAAUUCGUAGAUAUUAGAAAGAAUACCAAUUGCGAAGGCAGCUUUCUGGAUCAUUACUGACACUGAGGAACGAAAGCAUGGGUAGCGAAGAGGAUUAGAUACCCUCGUAGUCCAUGCCGUAAACGAUGUGUGUUAGACGUUGGAAAUUUAUUUUCAGUGUCGCAGGGAA